rnacentral:rRNA from 1 species
GACGAACGCUGGCGGCGUGCUUAACACAUGCAAGUCGAGCGGUAAGGCCCCUUCGGGGGUACGACGAGCGGCGAACGGGUGAGUAACACGUGGGUGACCUGCCCUCAGCUCUGGGAUAAGCCUGGGAAACUGGGUCUAAUACUGGAUAUGACUCCACGGUGCAUGUCGUGGGGUGGAAAGCCUUGUGCGGCUGAGGAUGGGCCCGCGGCCUAUCAGCUUGUUGGUGGGGUGANGGCCUACCAAGGCGACGACGGGUAGCCGGCCUGAGAGGGCGACCGGCCACACUGGGACUGAGACACGGCCCAGACUCCUACGGGAGGCAGCAGUGGGGAAUCUUGCGCAAUGGGCGAAAGCCUGACGCAGCGACGCCGCGUGAGGGAUGACGGCCU